rnacentral:rRNA from 1 species
GGAUUAGGCAUGCAAGUCGAACGAGGAUAUAUCCUUCGGGAUAUAAGCCGAGUGGCGCAAGGGUGAGUAAUGCAUAGAUUACCUGCCUUUAGGAUAAGGACAACUUUGUGAAAACGGAGCUAAUACUUAAUAAUACAAAAAAAAAUAAUUUUCUUUUGUCAAAUGGAGGGUAGCAAUAUCUUUCGCCUAAAGAGGGGUUUAUGUCCUAUCAGCUUGUUGGUGGGGUAAUGGCCUACCAAGGCAAAGACGGGUAGCCGGCCUUAGAGGGUGGUCGGCCACACUGGGACUGAGACACUGCCCAGACUUCUACGGAAGGCUGCAGUCGAGAAUCUUUCGCAAUGCCCGAAAGG